CAACCACGUGAAACUGGAAGAGAAUACAGCUCCCAUCUCCUGCUGUCACGAUGUGGAUAAUUUUCCUGUGGCUUCUUACCCAACACACGGAUAGUCAGACCACAGCAGGACAGUGUUCUGUGUUCCCUACACUAUGCUGUGCUGGAUGGAAUAACGCCUGUCAGAGGGGAGGCUGCUAUUGUGAUCAGCAGUGUCUUCAAAGCAAGGACUGCUGCAGUGAUUAUAUCAGCACAUGUGUAGGAACACAGACAGUAAGAACAUCUGUAUCAACAACUAUACCUCCCAUAAAGCCAUCUACACAAACAACAGCAGUGCUCACAAGUGACACAUCAGCACUACCAGGUGGAACAAUACCAUCUGCCAGCCUGUCAUCUUCCACCUCCAGCACAACCAGCAAUACAAUGACUACAAGCACAACCAAUAAUAUGCUGUCUACCCUUAAGUCCACAAAUACCACCAUGAUGAGCUCAACUAUGAGUACACUGCCUACUCUCCACUCUACACAUACAACCCUGAGUCCAACUAUGAAUACAACAACUCUCACUACAUCUGUGCCAGUCACCACUAUGAAUAUAGUACCUACCCUCAAACCUACAGACACAGCCACUCUGAAUACAUCUACUCCUGUGACCACAACAGAAACACUGCCCACUCUCCACUCUACAGACACAACCACUCUGACUACAUCUA